rnacentral:rRNA from 1 species
GAUGAACGCUGGCGGCGUGCCUAAUACAUGCAAGUCGAGCGAACGGACUAGAAGCUUGCUUCUCUGAUGUUAGCGGCGGACGGGUGAGUAACACGUGGAUAACCUACCUAUAAGACUGGGAUAACUUCGGGAAACCGGAGCUAAUACCGGAUAAUAUUUUGAACCGCAUGGUUCAAAAUUGAAAGACGGUCUUGCUGUCACUUAUAGAUGGAUCCGCGCUGCAUUAGCUAGUUGGUAAGGUAACGGCUUACCAAGGCAACGAUGCAUGGCCGACCUGAGAGGGUGAUCGGCCACACUGGAACUGAGACACGGUCCAGACUCCUACGGGAGGCGGCAGUAGGGAAUCUUCCGCAAUGGGCGAAAGCCUGACGGAGCAACGCCGCGUGAGUGAUGAAGGUCUUCGGAUCGUAAAACUCUGUUAUUAGGGAAGAACAUAUGUGUAAGUAACUGUGCACAUCUUGACGGUACCUAAUCAGAAAGCCACGGCUAACUACGUG